UACGUAGGGUGCAGGCGUUAAUCGGAAUUACUGGGCGUAAAGCGUGCGCAGGCGGUUUGCUAAGACAGAUGUGAAAUCCCCGGGCUCAACCUGGGAACUGCAUUUGUGACUGCAUAGCUAGAGUACGGUAGAGGGGGAUGGAAUUCCGCGUGUAGCAGUGAAAUGCGUAGAUAUGCGGAGGAACACCGAUGGCGAAGGCAAUCCCCUGGACCUGUACUGACGCUCAUGCACGAAAGCGUGGGGAGCAAACAGG
rnacentral:rRNA from 1 species